rnacentral:lncRNA from 1 species
CAGGGAUAGCAUUUUGCUCUAAAGACAGUUGGAGAUGCUUUUUCAUCAUCUGCAGCAGGGAGAGGCCUGACCAGCACUGGGGAGUCUGGAAGCUUUCAAAGUGGCAGCGAAGCUUACGCAGAUCGGAUGCCCGCCUUCCCAUCUUUCCACAUUUGGAAAGUGCCAGCUCUCAGGGAGGCAUGGAGCCCUGAGCAGGAUGUCUAGCCUGGCGGGCAUGGUGUGUGAUCCCAGGGGCUCUUCUGCAGGUGCCCUCCUGGGGGGGCUGUGCAAAGACCAGGUUACUGCGUGGUCACAGAGUGUUGUGCAAUGAGACUGUAUUUGCUGCAGAUGUGUGGAGGGGAGUCAGAAGCUAUCUCUUGUCUGUUGUUUGAUUACUACUUCUGUGUCCAAAACAACCCCCAGCAGUUCCCAUUGUGGCUCAGUGGGUUAAGAAACCAACUAGUAUCCAUGAGGAUGUGGGUUCAAUCCCUGGCCUCACUCAGUUAAGGAUCUGGUGUUGCCACAAGCUGUGGCGUAGGUCACAGAUGUGGCUUGGAUCUGGUGUUGCUGUAGCUGCAGGGUAGGCUGGCAGCUGCAGCUCCGAUUUGACCCCUAGCCCGGGAACUUCCAUAUGCUGUGGGUGUCGCUGUAAAAAGAAAAAAAAAUCAACCCCCAAACUUAGUGGUUUAACACAACUACCAUUUGAUUAUAUGUAGGAUUCUGCGGGUCAGAUAUUCAGACAGAGUGGGGAUGGCUUUCUCUGCUCCAUGAUAUCUGGGAUAUCAGCUGGGAGAGACUGGGCAGCUGGGAUCACGCACCUGGACUGGGGCUAGCAUGGCCACAGGUGGGCCUCCCCAUGUGCAUGGUGGUCUUGGAAUGUUUGCAGGGGUCUGAGCAUGUGCCACACAAAAGACAGAAGCUGCACGGCCUUUUAUGUCCUCACCUGAGACAUUGUAUCACUUCCACCGUAUUCAGUUGGUUAAAGCUAAUUCAAGGGGAGGGCCCUAGAACCCCAACUCUCAAUAGUAGGAAUGUUAAAGAAUUUCACGGCCAUUUUUUUUACUGCCACAUCUAUCAUUCCUCAUGUGAGUAUUAGCCCAUAGAAUAAGGUCACAUGCAUUUGGAUUUUCAGGAGACCCUCGGCAGAAUCCGCUCAUCCUAAAGGGAAAUUUGCCAUAUUGUUGUCAAACAUAUGUGUUUCUCCAGGAAUCCUAAGAUAUUUCAGACAAAUAUUCCUGCAUAUCUGUUACCGACCCAAGAAGAGUCAACCAAGGACUACCAGACGUGGGAAGGAAACCUGCUAGUUAAAAGCAAAUACCACCAAAAUAAAUCGGGAAAAAAAGGAAUGAGAGGAAACAGAGAUAAUGCACCAAACAAGAGAACUUUAGAGGUUUGUUAAUGAAUAUCUUCAGGAAGAGCGAAAGUGGGAUGGAAUUCCACGGGCACAAGCCAGGGCUCUCAUCCACGGUGGAAUUUGUUCUGUGAGACUGUGGUUUGAAGGAUGACCCCCAGUGACCUUCAGUCUUGUGUAAUCGCCUCCCUUUUGAGUUGCAGGGGGUAGGGGGUCCUGUGAGUGGGAAGAGAUAUCAUUCCAGCAAUGACGUUUCCUCACAUGGCAAAGGCCAGAGAGCCUGGGUGGGCUUGAUCUAAACGUGCGAGACCUUUCAAAGCAAUGCGUUUUCUCUGUAACAGAAGAGGAAGCAAGAGAUUUGAAGCCCACUAGUGCUUGCUGGCUUGGAAUACAGAGGGGGCCGCAUACCCUGGAAUUUUUCUCCAUGAACAGAGGAAAGCUUUUGUGCCGAAGCCAGAAAGAAAGUGACGCUUCAGUCCUACACCCACAGGGAUCUGAAUUCAGCCAUCAGCCUUCACGAGCUCAGAAACGUAUUCUCCCCAAGAGCCUCCAGGUGACAGCCCAGUCUGGACAAUAUGUUGCCUUUGGCUUCAUGAAGCCCUGGGAAGAGAAUCCAGCAGAGCCUGCCUGUACUUCUUACCUGAAGAUCUUUGCAAUAAAAAUGAGUAUGUUUUAAGCGGCAAAAUUGUGGUAACUUGUCAUCCAACUUGGAUUGAGUCCUUCCCAAAUCCAUAUGUUGAAGUUCUGAUCCCCCAGUGGAUCAUAGUAAGAAAACAAAGUUAAAUGAGGCCGUAAGGGUAGGGCGCUCGUCUGAUGGGAUUAUUGUCCUUAUAAGAAGAGACACCAAAUCCUCUCUUCUCUCUGUCUCUGUCUCUACUUCGGUCUCUCUCUCUCUCUAUCAUGUGAGGACACAGCAAGAAGAUGGCCCCUUCGAGCCAGAAACACAACCCUUAUAAUUAAUUUUAUUUGUCAAUUUGGCUGAGCUGCGGGGUGCCCAGAUACAUGCUCAAACGUUAUUCUGGGUGUGCUGGUGAGAGUCUCUCUGGGUGAGAUUAGCCUUUGAAUCGAUAGUUCCAAUGUUGGAGAUGCCACCCAAUUUGUUGACAGCCUGAAUGGAAUAAAAAGGUUGAGUAAGGCGACGUCCCCCUUUGAACUGGGAUAGUGGUGUUUCUCCUGCCUUAGAGCCCAGACAGGAGCUAUACCUUCAGCUCUCCCGGCUCUCCCACUUGCUGACUGCAGGUCUUGGGGCUUCUCAGCCUCCACAAUUGUGUGAGCCACUUCCUUACAAUGAUCGCUUCCCAUAGAGAGAUCCCGUUGAUUCUGUUUCUCUGGAGAACACGGACUAAUACAUCUUUCAUGAGAAACCAACCCUGCUGGACCUGGAUCUGGGAAUUCCAGGAUCCAGAACAGGGAGAAAGUUAAUUUCUGUUGUUUAAGCCCCCCACCUCCAACAUAGAGAGUCACGAAGACAGUGCCUGUGCUGAGGGGAAGAACUGGAGGUGAAGAGAAAGGGAAGUCGGACAACAAGAAAAACCUGGAAAUGAAAAACAAAAGAGAAAAUAGAAGGUGAAGUUCAUCUUACGGAGCAGAAGGAAGAGGCAGGAACAAUGACAGAAAGGACCCAUUUUAGAGGCUCCGGGCCGAGCCAACACGACUUCCAGAAGGAAAGAAGAAAGAAAAUGGACAUUGAGGAAAUUAGCAGAAAUAACAGGUGAUCAUUUCCAAGAGGUGCUGGACACAGUCUUCCGAAUGAAAGAGUCCACCAGGUGCUGAGCAGCGUGGAUAGGGACCCAUUACUGGAUGCAUUCUUGUGGAAAUUCAGGACAGCAGGAGUGGCUCAGUCUAGCAAACCCAACUAGGACCCACCAGGACUUGAGUUCCACCCUUGGCCUCUCUCAGUGGGUUAAGGACCUGGUGUUUCUGUGCGCUGUGGUGUAGAUCACAGACGUGGCUUGGAUCCCUCGUUGCUGUAGCUGUGGCAUGGGCCAGCAGCUGCAGCUCUGAGUCGACCUCUAGUCCGGGAACUUCUAUAUGCCACAGGUGUGGCCCUAAACAAACAAACAAACAAACAAAUCAGGGCAACAUACAUAGGGAGGAUUUAGGAAUUUUUAGAGAGGAAAAAAUAAAUCAGUCACCUGUAGAAGAAGAGAGAUAAAACUGACAUUAGAUUUCUCAUUAGCAUCACCGGAGCAAAUCCUGAAAACUCCUUAGGGAAAUUACUUUUUCUUUUGAGAUUUAUUAUGGAAAAUUCCAAAUAUCAACAAAACUUGAAAGCAUCGUAUACCGGAUGCACUGUGUCCAUCACCAAGGGUCGUCAAUUGAUGGCCAAAUUUGGUUCAUCUACACUCCUACUGACCACCCUCUCUCCCGGUGCCUUGGUUAUUUUGAGGCAAAUUCCAGGCAUCUUAGCAUUUCAUCUGUAACUAUUUAAGUGUGUAUCUCUAAAAGGUAAGGAUUCUUAGGGAGACACAAACUACAGUACCGUUUUCAUGCCUAAAACUGCUGACAAUAAUUGUUCAGUACCAGCAAGUAUUCAGAUGUUGCUCAUUGUUUCAUAAAUGUGUGUGUGUGUGUGUAUUUUAAUAGAUUGUUUAAAUCAGGAUCCAAGUAAGGUCCAUACAUUGCAAUUUGUUGAUCUCGUCUUUUUUACAUCUUUAUGGCCCCCAAAUCUUAUUUUUUCCCGUGGGAAAAAUUUGUUGGAGUGUCUGGGUCCUUUGUCCGGCCGAGGUUCCCACAGUCUGGACUUUGCUGAGUGUGGACGUGUUGUGUUAUUCCCGUGUUUACCCCACGUGUUUGAAAAUUGAUAGAUCAAGAGCCUUGAUCAAAUUCAGGUUUCUUUCCCCUACCCCACCCCACCCCACAGACUAUUUCAUUAUUAGUAGUGUGUACUUCUGUCAGGAGCAACAUAUGUGUCUGGAUGUCUCUUCUGUUGUGAUGUUAGCACUAUUGAUUAUUGCACAGAUCCGAUCAUUCACCAGGUGGUACAAAAUGGGAAUCUAUCAUUUCUUCCUCCUGUAUUAGCAACACUCUUCCCCAAAUAGAAGCUUUCUCUCAUCAACUGUUUCACACCUGGAGGUACAGUUGGUGUUGGCAAGGCAGAAAAAAAAUGCUUUAACUUUUUCUUUUUAAAAUAAGUUAAUGAGGAGUUCCUGCUGUGGCACAGUGGGAUCAGCGGCAUCUCUGGAGCACUGGGAUGCAGGCUUGAUCCCCAGCCCGGCACAGUGGUUUAAGGAUCUGGCGCUGCCACCGCUGCUGCAUAGGUGGCAACUGCAGCUCGGAUCUAAUCCUGGCCUCGGAACUCCAUAUGCCUCAGGGUGG